UGGGGAAUUUUGGACAAUGGGCGAAAGCCUGAUCCAGCCAUGCCGCGUGAGUGAAGAAGGCCUUCGGGUUGUAAAGCUCUUUUAGUCGGAAAGAAAAGAUCAUAAUGAACAAUUAUGAUUCAUGACGGUACCGACAGAAAAAGCACCGGCUAACUACGUGCCAGCAGCCGCGGUAAUACGUAGGGUGCGAGCGUUAAUCGGAAUUACUGGGCGUAAAGGGUGCGCAGGCGGUUUUGUAAGUCAGAUGUGAAAUCCCCGGGCUUAGCCUGGGAAUUGCGUUUGAAACUGCAAGACUAGAGUGCAGCAGAGGGGAGUGGAAUUCCAUGUGUAGCAGUGAAAUGCGUAGAGAUGUGGAAGAACACCGAUGGCGAAGGCAGCUCCCUGGGUUGACACUGACGCUCAUGCACGAAAGCGUGGGGAGCAAACA
rnacentral:rRNA from 1 species